UGAGUAAUGUCUGGGAAACUGCCUGAUGGAGGGGGAUAACUACUGGAAACGGUAGCUAAUACCGCAUAACGUCUUCGGACCAAAGUGGGGGACCUUCGGGCCUCAUGCCAUCAGAUGUGCCCAGAUGGGAUUAGCUAGUAGGUGGGGUAAUGGCUCACCUAGGCGACGAUCCCUAGCUGGUCUGAGAGGAUGACCAGCCACAUUGGAACUGAGACACGGUCCAGACUCCUACGGGAGGCAGCAGUGGGGAAUAUUGCACAAUGGGCGCAAGCCUGAUGCAGCCAUGCCGCGUGUAUGAAGAAGGCCUUCGGGUUGUAAAGUACUUUCAGCGAGGAGGAAGGCAUUAAGGUUAAUAACCUUAGUGAUUGACGUUACUCGCAGAAGAAGCACCGGCUAACUCCGUGCCAGCAGCCGCGGUAAUACGGAGGGUGCAAGCGUUAAUCGGAAUUACUGGGCGUAAAGCGCACGCAGGCGGUCUGUCAAGUCGGAUGUGAAAUCCCCGGG
rnacentral:rRNA from 1 species